rnacentral:lncRNA from 1 species
AACCGAUCAAUGUACUUUGUAAUCUCCCCCACCCUUAAGAAGGUUCUUUAUAAUUCUCCCCACCCUUGACAAUGUACUUUGUGAGAUCCACCCGCUGCCUGCAAAACAUUGCUCCUAACUCCACCGCCUAUCCCAAAACCUAUAAGAACUAAUGAUAAUUCCCGCCCUUUGCUGACUCCUUUUUUGGACUCAGCCCACUAGCACCCAGGUGAAAUAAACAGCCUUGUUGCUCACACAAAGCCUGUUUGGGGGGGUCUCUUCACAUGCACACGUGAAACAUUUGGUGCCAAAGACCAGGGUCAGCGGGACUCCUUCGGGAGACCAGUCCCCUGUCCUCAUCCUCACUUCGUGAAGAGAUCUACCUACAACCUCAGGUCCUCAGACCAACCAGCCCAAGGAACAUCUCACCGAUUUUAAAUCGGAUAAGCAUCACGGUGUAAGAGAUGCAAGAGCCUGAAGACUGGAGUACAAGUGCAGCUCUGCCACAAAUUCUGCAUCUUCAUCUGAGUUCUCCUCCACUGCUGACACGUUCUGAGCCUGUAAUACCAUUCCCUCCACUCUGCCCCCACCACGUGCUCCAGUCUGGUUUUGUGGUGCACACCACUGGAGAGGCAAUCCGGUUUGUGUCAACUUCCCUUCUCUGGGAAUACUCCCUGAUAUGCAGGGAUGCGCCCCUGGUGGUCACGUGUAUGCUUUGUUGUGACUAUAUUUCCUGGACCAUAACUGAUUGAUGCAGCACAGACACCUCUGCCGAAAGAAAUCCAACAACCCUCUUUUAUGGGGAUUUAAAAUGUCAAUGGGGAGAGAGUCUGAAGGGCAGUGGGUCUCCAAUGUCCUGAAGAAAGGGUUCACAAACUCCUGCCACUGAGGUCCCAAGAGCUGUGCCAAUUCCUGCCUUUCUGAGACUUGUUCAAUUUCAUCCCCCAUCCCAUUUUUGUAUACCUAUCAUCCUUCCAAUAAAUCACUCUUUGCUUAGUUUAACCAGA